UUAUUCAGAAAAAAGGGAGCUGAACAGAAUUCAUAUUGAAUUCGUCGUCCACUCCCAGCUUGCUUUGCUUGUAGAAUUUCUUGAUGAAAUUCUCUUUGCUGGGGCCCCGCCCGCAAGGAUGACUAGAACUGAGAAAAGCUUAAUUUAGGCGCCUUCUCAGUUCAGUCAGCUACUGCGAAUUUGCAAAAUAGCAUCAUUAUAUUAUUUA
rnacentral:ncRNA from 1 species